GCGGCGCCGGGCGACCAGCUCCUGCAAAACUCCCCCAGGGCGGAAACGCAGCAAGGGUAUGUGGUUGAGCGGUGUGUCUGGCGCUUUUUU
rnacentral:SRP_RNA from 1 species